rnacentral:rRNA from 1 species
CCUACGGGAGGCAGCAGUGGGGAAUUGUUCGCAAUGGGCGCAAGCCUGACGACGCAACGCCGCGUGGAGGAUGAAGAUCUUCGGGUCGUAAACUCCUGUCGAGCGGGACGAACACUUAUCCGGUGAAUACCUGGAUAGGCUGACGGUACCGCUAAAGGAAGCCCCGGCUAACUCCGUGCCAGCAGCCGCGGUAAUACGGGGGGGGCAAGCGUUGUUCGGAAUUACUGGGCGUAAAGGGCUCGUAGGCGGCCAACUAAGUCGGACGUGAAAUCCCCAGGCUCAACCUGGGAACUGCGUCCGAUACUGGAUGGCUUGAAUCCGGGAGAGGGAUGCAGAAUUCCAGGUGUAGCGGUGAAAUGCGUAGAUAUCUGGAGGAAUACCGGUGGCGAAGGCGGCAUCCUGGACCGGCAUUGACGCUGAGGAGCGAAAGCCAGGGGAGC